rnacentral:rRNA from 1 species
UACGGAGGGGGCUAGCGUUGUUCGGAAUUACUGGGCGUAAAGCGCACGUAGGCGGACCAGCAAGUUGGGGGUGAAAUCCCGGGGCUCAACCCCGGAACUGCCUUCAAAACUGCGAGUCUGGAGGUCGAGAGAGGUGAGUGGAAUUCCGAGUGUAGAGGUGAAAUUCGUAGAUAUUCGGAGGAACACCAGUGGCGAAGGCGGCUCACUGGCUCGAUACUGACGCUGAGGUGCGAAAGCGUGGGGAGCAAACAGG